GUGCCUACGGGAGGCAGCAGUGGGGAAUAUUGCGCAAUGGGCGAAAGCCUGACGCAGCGACGCCGCGUGAGGGAUGAAGGUCUUCGGAUCGUAAACCUCUGUCAGCAGGGAAGAACGGUCACUGUGCUAAUCAGCAGUGAAUUGACGGUACCUGCAAAGGAAGCACCGGCUAACUCCGUGCCAGCAGCCGCGGUAAUACGUAGGGGGCGAGCGUUGUCCGGAAUCACUGGGCGUAAAGGGCGCGUAGGCGGU
rnacentral:rRNA from 1 species